rnacentral:rRNA from 1 species
GACGAACGCUGGCGGCGUGCUUAACACAUGCAGGUCGAACGGAAAGGCCCUGCUUGCCGGGUGCUCGAGUGGCGAACGGGUGAGUAACACGUGGGUGAUCUGCCCCUUACUUUGGGAUAAGCCUGGGAAACUGGGUCUAGUACUGGAUAGGACCAUGCUGUAGGUGGUGUGGUGGAAAGAUUAGUUUCGGUAAGGGAUGAGCUCGCGGCCUAUCAGCUUGUUGGUGGGGUAAUGGCCUACCAAGGCGUCGACGGGUAGCCGGCCUGAGAGGGUGGACGGCCACAUUGGGACUGAGAUACGGCCCAGACUCCUACGGGAGGCAGCAGUGGGGAAUAUUGCACAAUGGGCGCAAGCCUGAUGCAGCGACGCCGCGUGGGGGAUGACGGCCUUCGGGUUGUAAACUCCUUUCAGCCAUGACGAAGCCCUUGUGGUGACGGUAGUGGUAGAAGAAGCACCGGCUAACUACGUG